UGGGGAAUAUUGCACAAUGGGCGCAAGCCUGAUGCAGCCAUGCCGCGUGUAUGAAGAAGGCCUUCGGGUUGUAAAGUACUUUCAGCGGGGAGGAAGGCGAUAAGGUUAAUAACCUCGUCGAUUGACGUUACCCGCAGAAGAAGCACCGGCUAACUCCGUGCCAGCAGCCGCGGUAAUACGGAGGGUGCAAGCGUUAAUCGGAAUUACUGGGCGUAAAGCGCACACAGGCGGUCUGUCAAGUCGGAUGUGAAAUCCCCGGGCUCAACCUGGGAACUGCAUUCGAAACUGGCAGGCUAGAGUCUUGUAGAGGGGGGUAGAAUUCCAGGUGUAGCGGUGAAAUGCGUAGAGAUCUGGAGGAAUACCGGUGGCGAAGGCGGCCCCCUGGACAAAGACUGACGCUCAGGUGCGAAAGCGUGGGGAGCAAACA
rnacentral:rRNA from 1 species